AGAAAGGUAGUCUAACUAAGACAGUUGAUUUCGACUCAACAAAUCAUAGAUCAGCCCUAUGCCUCUCUCCAUGCCUCUCUC
rnacentral:tRNA from 1 species